GAAAGCCUGUCUCAGUUCGGAUUGGAGUCUGNAACCCGACUCCACGAAGCUGGAUUCGCUAGUAAUCGCGCAUCAGCCACGGCGCGGUGAAUACGUUCCCGGGCCUUGUACACACCGCCCGUCAAGCCAUGGAAGCCGGGGGUGCCUGAAGUGCGCUGCCGCAAGGAGCGCCCUAGGGUAAAACCGGUGACUGGGGCUAAGUCGUAACAAGGUAAC
rnacentral:rRNA from 1 species